UACUUAUUUAAUGUUGGAGAAUUAUUGCGCUUUAAUUGUCCAGUUACGUAUUCCAGAGUCAAUGGUAGGUCAAAACUCAACUUGGUUAUGACUUCGCAAGUCAAGGUCGAGACUGGAGCCGAGAUGGGUUUGGUAUUUCCUUUUGAAUGAAGUGGUCGUCAUCCAUUUUUCUUCAGUCAGCAAUAGACAAGAUUGUUUGAUUUCGUCGAGAAGAAUAGUUUUACUGUACUGAGUUUCGCUGGCAGCAUAUUGGCUGGCGUGAACAUGAUUAUCAAUCUCUAGGGGCUCAAACAGUUAAGGGAGAUCCCAAGUUUUUGUUCAAUUCCUGAUUCCAAUCCCGCGCAAGCCCCUCCCUCGAUUUCCCAAUCCACCGUCUCGUCAUCACUCAUCGCCUUCCCCUUAAUCUCUCAGAAUCUUCGUGUUUCCGGUCAUGGAUUGAAUCCUUUUGCACCAUAUUGUGUUGUUCUAGCUGAUUCGUUGCCCGUAGAUUUUAUUGAUGAUCUCUCUGUGAUUUCUUUCUCAAAGCAUGUGAUUAGGGGAGUAUGCCAUCGUCCUUGGUAGAUCUUAGUUUUCAGAAACUCAAUAUUCUUUGGGUUUGGACGGUUCUGUCAUCCUUAUCAAUUUACAAGCUUUAACAUUGCUCGUUUAGAUUACUGAAUGAUAUGCCUCACUCCCCAGGAGGAACAGGUUUCGUUUUGAAGGAGCACAAGAAGUCGCUCGUUAAGACCUCGGGCAGCUACAGAUACGGGGGUUGAACAUCACGUGGGGGCUCGGAAAGGGAUCUCAAAGUGGUGAGUUCAAUUCCCAGGUCCUUAAUGAUGAAAAACAUUUUUACAUUUCGUUUGCAUUCUUUUUAAUUGUAGAGAUGAACUCAUUAUACUAACCAAGCUCCCAAUAAACAUUAGUAAAUAAAAAAACAGGGCAAACUUAUGACUUAUUUGAAGGUAAAAUUAUGCUAGGCACCAAGGGAAAGAGAGAAAACAAAUUAAAAACAAAAAGGGAUUUCGGGCCUUGUUGACUGCUUUCUUCAUUUUCUGAAACUUAGAAUCUUGUCUAGGUAUCCAAUAUCCAUCAUCUCGUUUCUUGAAUAUUCAUGUUAGUCUCAAAUAUAUGGGAGCUUGAGAGAUGACCUGGAGUUGGAGAUCUUAAGUAGAGGCCUGUGAGGGCUAACAACUGGUUAGGCUCCAAUAUGAGCCAAGCGCCCAAACAAAAAAAAAAAAAAUCAUUGUUGGUGUUUACAUUUCUGAUUGUCAUGCUCCAAGAAGCUGCUUACCUGAACUCCUGAUGUUGCUGGGUUGAGUGGUGGGAGAUAAAUGGACUGACCUGUAUAACACUAUCCAAUUUUUACUUGUGUUCAAGCCCCACUGAGGAUCCCAUUUUGGGGAGUUUUGCUUUCUGUCAUUGAAGGAGUAGCAGACUCUGAAGAGCUGGACACUAAAAAUUGCAAAACAACAAUAUAAACUAACUGGAAAAUGGAAAUUUUGCUUUCUUAUAGCACCUUUAUGUGGGAAACAUCGUUCAGAAUUAACUAAUAGGAUUAUUUCUCACUGUUUGAAGUUUGAAAUGCGAUCUGUUUUGGUUCCCCUUUUCUCUUCUCAAGCGUUAUCUGCCGAUGGAAAAGAACUAUUACUUGUGUUGAUAAAAUCUAGUAGAACAGGGAUGGGAAUUGAUCUGGAGCAACACUUUCCUGAAUAUGUUAAUUUGAAGUUGUACAGGAAGUGCUGAGUCUUCUUACAGCACCUCUAUGAGGUAGGCAUUCUUCAGAAUUAACCAAUAGGAACAUCAAAUCUUUUGCCCACUGUAUGAAAUGAAAAUCUACUUCUGUUCCGCUUCCCUUCUGUGAAGCAUUAUCUUUAAGAAUGCAAGUAGAUUUAUGUAGGUUGUCAAAUUAUAUUACCAGCAGAUUGGAAAUUGAUCGGGAGCAACACUGUUUUGAUAGAUGUGAAUUGGCUGCAUUUUGGGCUGGGUUUAGUAACAUUCCUGUGGAACAGAUAGAAACUGAGGUGCUAAUUUUGCUUGGUUCCUGUGGUAUUUAUAUGCAAAUUUUUCACAUUUUGGAUUGUCAGCUGGUGUCAGCUCAUAUUGCUUUGUAUUGGUCAGGAUCUAAAUGUAGUGCUGAUAACGUUUGAUAUGUAUGCUUGGCUGAUAAGAUAUGACAAUGAUUAUGUGCAAGCACGAGAGCCACUUGAUUCCCUCAAGUGGAAUUGAGACUGUCGUUUAUUUAUGUUUGAAUGCUGGCUCUGAUCUGUUAUAUUCCCUGUUCUCAUGCAUUCAGUAACUUGAAAGUUCAAAAUGAGGUUUUCAAAAUGUUGGUUCCAUUUAGAUAUUGCCAUCUGGAUCAAAUUGGCUUUUGUCUCGGGCAAUUGCUAACACUCUUGCUGAACAGGUAAGAAAACUUCUCAAUGAAGGAAUGGGUGAAAAUGUCGCUGCAUUGGGCCCAAAAUCAAUAAAUGUUCUAUAGGGAUUUUUGUCCAUUCUUAAUCUUGUUUCAUUCCAUCUAUCAGGUGUGAACUAAUUCAAGAGUGAAAUAAACAAGCCACUUACAUGUAAUGUGUAAGUUUAUGGAUUGAUUUGUCAUCUGGGAAGGCAGUAUUUCAAUAUGUCAAAAGCACAUGGAGAGCUGUGGUGGGAACAGGGCUUGCCACCAUCUUGACCAUAUAAGAUUAUUGAUUAAUUUGUCCCCUGUGUCCGGACUAUUUAUUGCUCCCCUGGCCAUAUAUGGUUCCAUGAUACGAAGGAAUCAAAAGUUUGUGGUAGAGGCUUGUUUGGUUCUGAUCGAUUUUUUUUUUCUCGGGGACAAAAAAAUUAACUACAGUUUUGAAAAACUAUGCAGGUACAAAAAUCUUGUGUUCACCCUAAGACGACGAGUUUGAUGUUUGAAGGCGACAUUACUUUGCAAUAUCAACUCAAGAAUUUGAAAGUGUACUCUCUUGGAUCGUUAACCCAACAUAGUAAUGCCAAAUUGUUAUAUCCAUGCCUGUCUUGUGACGUUUCUACUUUUGACGAAACCCAAAGCGCAAUUUAGACAAGACUUUUAACACACAGGCGUGUAUAUUCUGUUGUACUUGUCCAUGGGGAAAGUUUAUCCCGAAAAAGGGAAAAGUGGAUUCUUAAGCUUUUCU